rnacentral:rRNA from 1 species
GACGAACGCUGGCGGCGUGCUUAACACAUGCAAGUCGUACGGUAAGGCCCUUUCGGGGGUACACGAGUGGCGCACGGGUGAGUAACACGUGAGUAACCUGCCCACAACUUUGGGAUAACGCUAGGAAACUGGUGCUAAUACUGGAUAUGUGCUCCUGCUGCAUGGUGGGGGUUGGAAAGCUCCGGCGGUUGUGGAUGGACUCGCGGCCUAUCAGCUUGUUGGUGGGGUAGUGGCCUACCAAGGCGGCGACGGGUAGCCGGCCUGAGAGGGUGACCGGCCACAUUGGGACUGAGAUACGGCCCAGACUCCUACGGGAGGCAGCAGUGGGGAAUAUUGCACAAUGGGCGUAAGCCUGAUGCAGCAACGCCGCGUGCGGGAUGACGGCCUUCGGGUUGUAAACCGCUUUCAGCAGGGACGAAGCUUUUUGUGACGGUACCUGCAGAAGAAGCACCGGCUAACUACGUG